rnacentral:lncRNA from 13 species
UGCCUGUGUAGUUUGAGGAACCUGACACCCAGAGAGAGUGUUCCUGGCUCUAGGUCCCUGGUCUUAUGAUUGCAGAUCCAGUCUUACCACAAUCCAGUCCACACUGCCUCUCCUCAAAGGGAGAAAGGGCAUUGCUGCUGAUCUCACCUCCUCCCUUCCCCCUUGGUGGUGGUGGGCCAGGACUCUUUGAAAGAGUGAUCAUGUGUUUAAUUAUUAGGUGAGUAACCGUGGGAGGCUUCCUGGCAGAUUAUUAAUAGAAGCUGAGGAAGGUGUGCGUGUUUAGCAGCAGGCCAGCAGUUUGGGAUGCCAGGCUGGCUUGGUCUCUGGGUUUCUGGAGUCACCUGAAUGACUUGACUCAUCUCCUGGCUGAGGGCUUGGCUUCUCACUUCUGAGACACCCCAUUCCCAAGGCAAAUUGCUGUCUUGCCUCUCUCCUUACACUCAUUUACAUCCUCUGUUGCCAUGCUGCCUGCAGGAGCUGAAGCUUCUAGACAAAGAGACCUAGGUUUAAUCCUUGCAGACUUUACCUACAUUGUCUAACCUGUUGGGACCUCAGUCUCCUCAUCUUUGAAAUGGGCAUGCCAAUAUCCAACUCGUCAUGAGGACUUAUGGAGAUGAUUGCCCAGCAGGCACUCAGGAAGCUGCCACCAUUGCAACUAGUAUCAUUCGGAGGCUGCCACGCUGGAACCUGCUGGCCACAGGCCCUGACAAAACUGUUCCUUUUCUGCAAAUGUCUUUCCCAGGUCUUUCCCCCUUUUCUCCAUGUGCUUUGCCACCUUGCACCUGCUUGCCCGCUUGCUCAGUCACGUCCCACUCGUCGGCCACGUUCUCCAGGCAGCUGCGUCAGCCUUCCAAGAUGCAGAGUGAAAUGCAAUGACUGGAGCUCCAGCAGUUACCAUGGACCAUGAGGUGACCUUAGGCAUGAAACCAACACAGCACAGAACAACAGAGAAGGAAGCUGAUUCAUCAACACUCUGGGGCACCGUACCAGCCCAGACGGUUCCUCAGAAUGUCUUGGACACAACCAAGAAGUAAACAUCUGUGCUGCUUAAACUACUGUUAUUUGUUUUCUGUUCUGUUACUCAUAAUUAGACAUAAUCUAACGAAUGCAAGUCUCUAAUGAAGGUGUCCUUUAGAGGCCACAUAGAUUGGUCAAGAGCCCAGAACGUAAAUCCAGAUGCACUUGCUAAGGGUAUGACCUUAUACAAGCGACUUCACCAUCUGGAAUCUCAAUUUACUCAUCUGUAUAGUAGGGCUAGUAAUAGCAUUUAUCCUCCUCCUUGGUGCUCCCUACGGAGGUGGCAGCCAUCUCUUCCUCAGCAUCAUGGCCACCCUCAGAUCCCUUGUGAAGCCCAAGAUCGUCAAAAGGAGAACUAAGCAGUUCAUCCGGCACCAGUCAGAAUGAUACGUCAAAAUUAAGAGUAACUGGCAGGGAACUGGAAGUACUGACAACAGGGUUAGUAGAAGGUUCAAAGGCCAGAUCUUGAUGCCUAGCACUGGUUAUGGGAGCAAAAAAAACAAAACAAAACAAAAAUAACAACAAAGCACAUGUUUCCCAGUGACUUCCGGAAGUUCCUGGUCCAUGUCAAGGAGCUGGAAGUGCUGCUGAUUUGCAAAAUAUCUUACUGUGCUGAGAUGGCUCACGAUGUUUCCUCCAAGAACUGCAAAUCCAUCAUGGAAAGAUUCGCCCAGCUGGCCAUCAGAGUCACCAACUCCAAUGCCAGGCUACGCAGCAAAGAAAAUGUGUAGACAGCUCAUGUGUACGUUUUGUGUUUAAAUAAAGCUGUAAAAACUGCCCCA